rnacentral:rRNA from 12 species
UUGAGUGGCCGCACCUGAGUGAGAGUGCCCGAUAGUGUCCGAUCUCUGAAGCUAAGCAGGGCCAUGCCUGGUUAGUACUUAGAUAGGAGACCAUCUUGGAAGUCCAGGGGCCGCUAGCC